GAGGAAAGUAAUUUGAGCUCUUGCCUUUAAGCGGGAGAAAGACCAAAGAAAAACCAAACGAUGAAUUUACAGAAAUGUCUGAUACUCAACCAUGGAAGGUGGUGAAGUGCAACAAAGGAGUCCUGGAGAUUUUUGACAAAGGAAGCAACAUGACAGAUGCGUUCCGAAAGUAUGGUGUGGACCGAAACACGAUUAUGCAGAGUGCAGCUAUUGCUGAACUGGCCAUUGCAGCUCUUAUUCUAUGCA